UGUCCUUGUCUCCCAUGGGGGUGGUUGGGGCCCAGGCAGUCGGAGCAUUAAUCUGCAGCCUUUCCAGGCACAGUAGCAGGAAGUUGGAUCCGAAGCAGAGCAGCCAGGACUCAGACCUGCAGGCCCGUGUGGGAUGCGAACCCGUGGUUUCACCAACUGUGCCCAAACAGCCCUGCGGAGUGACUGAGAUCUUCUCUCCGCUGGUUCGCUCCCCAAAUGGCCACAACAGUUGGGGCUGGGCCAGGUCGAAGCCCUGAACUCCAUCCGGGUCUCCCACUUGUGUGGCAGAGGCCCAAGUACUUGGGCCAUCAUCUGCUGCCUUCCCAGCCGUCUUAGCAGGGAGCUGGAUCAGACACAGAGCAGCCGGGCUUCACACCAACCCUCUGAUAGGGGAUGCUGCUACGGGAAGCAGCGGCUUAACUCACUGUGCCACAAGACCAGUCCCUCUGUGUUUUAACUUCACCUGGGUGGUUCACCUGCCUGGGUAACCCCCUGUUCAUUUCCCUUUGUUAAUAAAGCUGCGGUGCUCUGGCUUUCACUCCUAGCCCUGUGAACAUGUUGCAUGUCCCUGCUGUGCGGCCGUAGGUUUUAGGAACUUGUAUUCUUGAUCGGCACUCACACUUUUACAUCCAUACAUUCCUAAGCAAUAAAUGGUUCUGUGUCUUUUUAAUUUGUGUAAA